UACAGAGGUCUCGAGCGUUGUUCGGAUUCAUUGGGCGUAAAGCGCGUGUAGGCGGCUCGAUAAGUCUGCUGUUAAAGUCCAGGGCUCAACCCUGGGAUGCCGGUGGAUACUGUCGAGCUCGAGUCCGGAAGAGGAGUGUGGAAUUCCUGGUGUAGCGGUGAAAUGCGCAGAUAUCAGGAGGAACACCAAUGGCGAAGGCAGCACUCUGGGACGUGACUGACGCUGAGACGCGAAAGCGUGGGGAGCAAACAGG
rnacentral:rRNA from 1 species